UUUUUUUUUUUUUUUUUUUUUUACAGAAAAACCAAUGUGACGUAGGCUGCAAGCAUCUCACACCUGUCCUCUGGAGGUCAGUGAGAAUCGUGAGCUCCUCUGUCCAGCACCGCCUCCACUAUGUGACAUUUGAGUGCUGAGCUGGAGGGUAAAGAGAGGGCUGUCAUUAAGAUAGGGAUCAGCAAUCACUGGAAACAUCACGUAGAUCACCGCGGCAAGUUGGAGAUUCACCAGAGGACGCGUUGAGAAAAUAAACAGCUCUAAAUUAGGUAAUGCCAUAGAAAUAGCAGAGAUGUGCAGAAGGCAGGCUGAAGCUUCUGGUAUUUCUGCUCCAACAUGCAGGAGAAAACGGGGGGGGGAAAAAAACGCAUGCUGAUUUGAACAAUUGCCGGAUUUUCUGCGAAUCAAAUCUCUGCAUAUUUUCCUGUUUGGAGCAGAUGUGUACCAAACAGUGGUGACCCCCACUCUCUUUUUCAAUGGGUUCGGGGUGAUGCGCGCCGCUUCUGAGUGGAAACUGUGGCUCUUCGGUCUCAAACACCAGCGAGAAUGCCAGGAAUUCAAUUGUGUGGAGGCAUUGGGAAAGCAGCAACCUGCGUGUGACUUGACCGGCCGGGUCGCAUGGCAGAAGUCCCGUGGAGCAUGCAGGCUGUCAGAGGCGGAACGAGGCCAGGUACGCCGCGGUGUGUUUGUGGCCAACGGCAAGCGGCGAGGGUCAAAUGCGUUGCUUCUACAAUGACUUGACCUCAUUCGUCUUGUUGAUUAUAAUCUGUCAUCUCCGAGAGCACAACAAAGGAUACAAUCAUGGUUAUUCAGAGAGCGCUCCGCGGAAAAGACGCAUGAAAACAAACCGCACAUUACGCUAAACCUUUUCACCUCGUGGAGAAAUAUUACAGAUUGACAGAGACGUCUAUUCAGUACGCACGUGUGUUUUAUUCAGCAUGAUCUCUAUCUCUCUCUAUUAUUUUAGUUGUGAUGCUGCAGUUAAAGUUGCAUAAGGCUUCGUAUAAUAUUAAGCCGAUAUAUGAAAAAUGCGCGUAAUAUUUUUAUUUAUGGAUUAUGAUGAGUUUAUUUAUAGAAACAGCUCACAUAAAUACUCUAAAUGUUCCCACCAGCUUAGACAUGCAUGCCAACGACUCCUGUUUCUACAAAGGACAGUCUGUUUCCAUUUGAAUAUUGAAAUGGCCUGCAUGGAAGAAGUUAGAAGCUUAAAAAACAUCUGAAAAAUACCAUUAAAUACUACUACUAAUUUAAAUAUGAAUUGGAUAUGGUUUGUUUAUUUAUGUCAGGGGUAGAUAUUAAAAAUAUCCCAGCUACAGUACACCAAUUUAGCCCCUUUUUCCAUCAAAGAAACGAGGCUGGGGCUGAGCUGACUGUAUGAUCAAGCAGGCCCUGGUCGCCAUGAACCUCGGCUGUCCUUAUCUGUCUCAGCCCCGGAGACAUCCUGUAUGCAGGCCCAUUGUUCCCUCCUGACUCAACCGACAGCCUCACGGAGCAAAUGCACACCUGCCGGCUGCACAGACAUAUUUGCAAAUAACAAAUAAGAAGUGCUUGUGGCGUUUGCAGAGGAGAUUUUAGGGCCCCAAGUUGGACAGAAAUGGGGUAGGUGUGUUUGUGUGUUAGCUGAGCUGCAUAGAUCGGAUCAUGUAUAAUAUAGUGCUGGAUAACAACAAAAUCAAAAUAAACCAUAUUACGAGCAAAAUCUAUCGAGUUUUGCAUGUAGUCCUAAAAGCUAUUAAGUAAGUCUAUAUUAAUAAAAAAAUGUAAUGUAUUGAUAAUUUGUCAACAAACAACGUUCAACUUCUGUUAUCUGUGUCAAAUAAAUAAAUAGGUGA